rnacentral:rRNA from 1 species
UACGAAGGGGGCUAGCGUUGCUCGGAAUCACUGGGCGUAAAGCGCACGUAGGCGGAUUGCUAAGUCAGGGGUGAAAUCCUGGAGCUCAACUCCAGAACUGCCUUUGAUACUGGCGAUCUUGAGUCCGGGAGAGGUGAGUGGAACUGCGAGUGUAGAGGUGAAAUUCGUGGAUAUUCGCAAGAACACCAGUGGCGAAGGCGGCUCACUGGCCCGGUACUGACGCUGAGGUGCGAAAGCGUGGGGAGCAAACAGG